rnacentral:rRNA from 1 species
CUUUUAUAGGAGUCCGAGUUGUAAUUUUGAGAACUGUUUUCUGUGCUGGACCAUAUACAAGUCUGUUGGAAAACAGCAUCAUUGAGGGUGAUAAUCCCGUAGAUGAUAUGGACUACCAGUGCAAUAUGAUACAGUCUCUAAGAGUCGAGUUGUUUGGGAAUGCAGCUCAAAGAGGGUGGUAAAUUCCAUCUAAGGCUAAAUAUAGGUGAGAGACCGAUAGCAAACAAGUACCGUGAGGGAAAGAUGAAAAGAACUUUGGAAAGAGAGUUAACAGUACGUGAAAUUGUUAAAAGGGAAACAUUUGAAGUUAGACUUGUUAUUAUUGGUUCAGCUUCUCUUUUUUAAUUAGGAGUUUAUUCCAAUGGUUGACAGACCAGCAUCAAUUUUUGAGUGUUAGAUAAGGGUCUUGGAGAAUGUGGCAACUUUGGUUGUGUUAUAGCUCCUGGCUUGAU